ensembl:lncRNA
CAGAGGUUUAAUAACAGGCCGGUAUAUAUAUCUUAGGUCGACAGAGAACGUGACGGAAUCGAACCGGCAUUGCUUUUCCCAGUCUACAGGACGAAGAUUUUAUGCACUACAGGUGAAUUACAGGUGAAGUCACUCAAUCCAGUCCCUGAGGCCUGUUGGGGGGACCAUACCAAGGACUCCUGGUGACAGCUAGCAGAAAGAACUACCCGGAUUCAUAUCACAUUGCGGGAGGUUAAGACACUCUGACACUGUCGAACAAUAACAGAGUUCGAGAGGAGAACUGGAAUUAACAGAAUUCUUGGGGCCAUCUCUCGAAUGAAAAAUACCUUACCUGUCCUUUCCUCACUGUUCUUGUUCAUAGAAGUGAAAAUGUGUCUGACUCUUGCUAAUGAUGUGUUUUCUGGAAGAGGGUGGGGCUUUAUAGGUGAGCUGUCCAUCCUAAGCUGUAUGGUUGGAGAUCUUAUUCCUACAACAUGAACCCGAGAAGGCCAGAGGGUAAUAUUGACAUAAUUAAACGAGAAAUUAGUAUUAACCAAGCAUAAGAGAUUACUUGAUCUGGAUAAACAGGAAGUGAGAGUAGGAUAGGGAGGGAUGUCUCAGUGGAGUUCUAUGUAAACCAAGUGGUGUCUGACUCCUUGGCAGUACAGGACUAAGAGUAGCUAUCAUGGAAGACAUAUAUGCAAGUCUCUGUGUAGUUCAUGGAAACAAGUUAUAGCUCACACCAUGUGAGAAGGCUACAUAAAUCUACAUACCCAGCAUGGAAGGAGAUGGAGUGUAGUGAAAGUAAGGGUUUCAGUUGAUAACCUAGUGCAUUCCAGGUAGAAAAAGUUAAGAGCAGCUGGUUGCUCUAUAGGCAGCAGAAUACAAGCAUGGUCCCUGACAAAGCAGAUACUGACUGUGGAGUUGUCCAGAGCCAAGAGCCGGUGUGGAUAGUUCAGAAAUGGAAUUAUUCACCUAAGGGAACAGCCUGUAUGGUAAAGCUAUUCAUGGAAGCAGGAAAGCCAGAUAAUAAGUUGUAUGGAUUUGCACUAUUUAUAUCCACAUGUUCCUCUGAAAUCUGAGCUUCCUCCUUUCACAGAGGCAACGGGAGACUGUUUAUUGUUUAAUUCAGUAUAGUACUCCUGAGAAAUAUGUGAGGUAAAAUCAGUACUGCAAUAGGACAGAUAAUGUUACUUCUGAUGCGACCAAUGAGUGAUUUGGCAGACUGGUUGAGAUCUGGGGAUUUCAGUAAGAUAAGGAGGCUCAGGGCUCACAUCUGUUGAAUGUGUGGGAGAAUGACAUGAUGGCGGAGUAUUACUGGCUAAUUGAACAGAGGUAUGUGUACUGAAACAUUUUGAGAAUGCCUUUUACGCUCAUUCAACACCAUGACAUGGUGUUGACUGAACGGGAGAAAAGAAGUACUCCGACUGGGUCUUUUGAUGAUAGGGUUUGUAUUAAUAACAUUGUGGAUCCAAGGGUGGCAGAUGAGAUCAAAGCUAUAAAUUAGAUCCUGGCAGGAUUAGAGUCAAGUAUUUUUUGGUGGUCCACUCUCAAUGAGAAUGUGGAUUGGAUCGAUUAUAUCUAUUAAAAAUCCACAGUGCUUCACCAAUUAUUUUAGAGAUGUAAUGAAUGACUUGGCAGAAUAGAAUAGUCUUGGAUGUUUGCUGGCUGAAGAGGGUGGGUGUGUAUAGGUAAUUUGACUCCGGGAUAUACAGUUAGGAUGGAUCAGUGACCAAGGCCUUGUCUGGUUUACACACCCUAGUUCACGAGUUGGAAAUAAACUCAGGGGUGGAUACUUCUUUGGCUAAUUGGGUUGACUGUGUGUUUGAAAGAUGGAAAAAUGUUAUGAUUACUGUGUUAUGGGCUACCUUCACCUGUGUGACUAUGUUAGUUUUGUACGGACGUGGUUGAUUGCGUGUAUGUAUGAAAGUUAUCAUUUCCAGGACUCUGGAGAAAUCGAUGACACUUCAGAUGGAGAUAUAUGGACCAAUCCUAAGCUCUGACCAGUGGAAUACAAAAUACAUGGCUUGGACGUAAUAGAAGAAUCCGGAUCCUUUCACUCGCGAGGAGACCAUAUUUGAUGUUUAGGAAAUUUAGAUGUUUUCUUAUUUCAAUGUAUAGACUGUUUUUUCAUGGAGAUUAACAGAAAAUCCUGAUAAGUAGAAUUAAGAUUCUGAUGUAGGAUAGAACAGUCAUGGAAGUUGAUUAUGUACAUACAUGUAUUGGUUGUCUUCUUUUAGUAUAUCAUUGAUAUUUCCAUGUAGUGUUUAAUGUUGGUAUGAGUUAAGUCAUUUUGAGGGUGGAUUGUUAGGAAAUUAUGAUUAAUAUGACUGAACAAAUCAUUUUAAAUGGAACUGUAAGUAAACUUAUACUCUGUUAUAUUAUGUUUAAUAGACUAUAUGAGUUCAUAAGAAGAAAUUGUGUGACAGGAGAAAGGAGUAAUAAAAUGUUAAAGAACACCAUUCCAACUGGGCAGGAACAAAUGGGUUGGGGACUGUGUAAACACAUAAGGUCGUUAGCCUAUGGUUGACCCAACCUGAAACUUAGCUCUGGGGUUUUUAGAUUAGGCAGUGAGUGCAUUCCUAGGGUUUCUGUUAAUUAAAACUCAGUUCAGUGGUGAUCGAUAAUGUUGAGGGGUCAAAAGUUAUCUGGGAGUGUGUUAGUAAGUUAGAAUGAACUUUUCACCUUACUUUGUCCUGUCGAGAGGAGGGGGUUCGGUUAAGGCAGUGAAAUGACGUCAUGAUCUGUAUUUAAACUGAUGCAUGUGGUUGAGUGGUAGCGCGCUCCGAGAAUAAAUUCUAUUACC